rnacentral:rRNA from 2 species
UCUAGCGAUAAUAGUGCAGUGGUACCACCUGAUACCUUGCCGAACUCAGAAGUGAAACGCUGUAAUGCUGAUGGUAGUGUAGGGCUUCCCUAUGUGAGAGUAAGGCAUCGCUAGAU